UUGAGUUCUAAACAUUUAAUUUAUAUUUUAUCCUCAAUAGAGGUAGAGACUCCGAUGACCUCUGGGAGCCAUCUCCAAAGAAACCACAUUCAAGUCCAUCCCACACUCAUUCAAACAUAGGAACUGGUUCCUCCAGUCUGACCCCUGCUGCUGUCUCUGGCUCCACACCCACCCGGCCAUCUAGAGGUGUUAUGAGUCCAGACCAGAAGCGGAGGAGGGCCAGUGUACCAGCGGCAACUACCACCGAGGGAGAGGACCGUUGGCGCACUGUGCUAGAGGAUGAUGUGGAGCCACUUCGACCAACAUUUCGACCUAAAAGGCAGCCAGGACCUCAGCUGGACAUGACUGGAAAGUACAGCCACCUUAAUCUUUUCCAGAUGUUUUUCUCCUCGUCAGUUCUUGAUUUGCUUGUGUCGAACACCAACAAGUAUGGGGCUAAGAAGCAAGCAGGCAAGAAAAAGGCAUGGAAGCCCAUUUCCAUCCAAGACCUGUACUGUUACAUCUCACUGGUCAUUUAUAUGGGGAUUGUGAAGUUGAAAAAACUGACGGACUACUGGAGAAGCUCAAGACUCUACCAACUGCCUUUCCCUACAACUAUCAUGUCUUGUAAGAGGUUUCUGACCGUCUCGCAGGCGCUUCAUAUUAGUGACCCACAAGCUGACGACAACAAUGACAAGAAGAAGGGCACAGCAAGCUUUGAUAGGCUCUGCAAAAUCAAACCUCUCUACUCCAGCAUUGUUGAGGCAUGCAAGACCCAUUUUCAGCCUUCCCAGAACCUGUCCAUCGAUGAGAGGAUGGUAGCCUCAAAGGCCAGAAUUGGAAUCAAACAGUAUAUGCCUAACAAGCCAACAAGAUGGGGUUACAAGCUGUUUGUUUUGGCAGAUUCUGCAUGUGCCUACACUUGGAAUUUCUUUGUGUAUGAGGGGAAGUCCAUCUCAGCCACCGGUAUGGGACUUGGUUAUGAUUCCGUAAUGAAAUUAUUGGAUUUUCCACUGCUGGGGACGGGCUACAAAUUGUUUGUGGAUAACUUUUACACAAGCCCUACCCUGUUUAUAGACCUGAGGAAGCUGAAUGUAUGGUCUUGUGGAACUAUUCGUCCCAACGGAGUGGGUUUUCCCAAAACAAAAGUAAACGACAUGCCUAAGAGGGCUGAAAGGGGUACCAUACGAUGGAUUCGUAAAGAUGACCUGCUCUUUGUGAAGUGGAUGGAUGCCAGAGAGGUGGUCAUGUGCUCCAGUAUCCACAAAUCGUACAGUGGCGAUCACAUCCGCAGGCGUGCGAAGGACGCUAAUGGGACAUGGACCAAGAAAGAUGUCCCCGUUCCAGAUGCUGUGAAGGAUUACAAUAAGAGCAUGGGAGGUGUGGACCUGUCAGACGCUCUGAUAGGCUACUACAAUGUUCUCCACAAGACAAUGAAAUGGUACAAGACAUUCUUCUAUCACUUCAUCGACAUUGCUGUGGUGAAUGCAUUCAUCCUCCAGAAGGAAAAGGCUAAGAUCUGUGGACAGACCCCCAUGACACAGCUAGCCUUCAGAGAGCUGCUCAUCCAGGAGCUUGCUGACUGCGGCACAAAGUCCACUGCAGCACCUUCUGUCCGCUCUACUCCUGCCUCCAGUGAUGUUCACCUGCCAAAAUACAUCACUGCAGACCUGAAUGUGCCUCGGGGCCAAAAGGGCACAGUAGGGAGGCGUUGUUGUACUCUGUGCAAAAUGAAAUCUCCCAUCACCUGCACUACUUGUGCUGUUACCCUCUGCUUUACAGCAGAGAGAGACUGCUAUGGGACUUGGCAUCAGCAGCUCAAUCUGGUGUAGAUGUGUUACCCUCUGCUUUACAACAGAGAGAGACUGCUAUGGGACUUGGCAUCAGCAGCUCAAUCUGGUGUAGAUGUGUUACCCUCUGCUUUACAACAGAGAGAGACUGCUAUGGGACUUGGCAUCAGCAGCUCAAUCUGGUGUAGAUGUGUUACCCUCUGCUUUACAACAGAGAGAGACUGCUAUGGGCCUUGGCAUCAGCAGCUCAAUCUGGUGUAGAUGUGUUACCCUCUGCUUUACAACAGAGAGAGACUGCUAUGGGCCUUGGCAUCAGCAGCUCAAUCUGGUGUAGAGGUGUUACCCUCUGCUUUACAACAGAGAGAGACUGCUAUGGGACUUGGCAUCAGCAGCUCAAUCUGGUGUAGAGGUGUUACCCUCUGCUUUACAACAGAGAGAGACUGCUAUGGGCCUUGGCAUCAGCAGCUCAAUCUGGUGUAGAGGUGUUACCCUCUGCUUUACAACAGAGAGAGACUGCUAUGGGCCUUGGCAUCAGCAGCUCAAUCUGGUGUAGAGGUGUUACCCUCUGCUUUACAACAGAGAGAGACUGCUAUGGGCCUUGGCAUCAGCAGCUCAAUCUGGUGUAGAGGACUGUGGGUGUUCUGAAUACUCUAAUUGUAAGUAGUGUGUUUUCUCCCUCAGUUUGUGGUGUUACACUUCUGACAUUAGAUCAGUGUUGGCUGCUAAUGUGGCCGUUUAUCUUAAAUCACUCCUUGUUUUGGGAGGCAUUGGAUCAGCGUUCUCGUCGCGUCUCCUGUUAGUAACUUUUGUGUCGGGAUGCUAAUGAUCCAUUACGUAUGACAUUCCUGGGAGUGUGUAAACUUUAUUAUUAAAGCAUUUUAGUAUGUUCUCUAUAGGUAUGUACUUUCAAAUGGACCAAUUUGUCCACUUGUGUACAUUUGGGAAAACUCGUGAGGGACACCUGGGAAACUUCAUACCAAAUAUUAUGUAGCUCUCUCAUUCUUGAGUGUAACUUUGCACACACAUUGUUACCCUGUUGUGGACAACAAAAAAUAUAGAAAACCAAUGUUUUUUUUUUGUUUUUAUCUUUUACUAUGGUGGUCUAUUCUCCUGCAUUAUUCUCACCCCUCCACAGACUUAUAAGUGGUUCCAUUCAAAUAGUAUCAAGAAUCAGCAUAUCCUUUCUUCAGGUCUAUCAGGUCUAGCUAUGCAGGUAUGGAUCCAUCCAGUCUAAAUGGAUAUUUUAACACCAGUCUUUAAUUUGUCCUUAAAGGGGUAGUUCAAUGUGAAGUUUGAUUUCCUUUUUAAAUAUUAUUUUAUUGGUAUGUACAUAACAUUCCCAUACAACUUUUUUUACUUGUACAGUUUAGCUGAGCGCAACAUGUUUGAGGGAUCCCGUCCUUCUGCUGAACAUGAUGAAUAUUCUCUUUGGAAUCUGGUUCGUCUGAACUCCUGUUGAGAAAAGGAAUAGCUGACUUCAGCAGAGGGCUACGUAACCUGUCAUAAAGGCUACAUAUGUAAUGUCUAACCCCUCCAUGUGCCUGCCUGGUAUCUGGUCCCCAGCAAGACAUUAUCUUGAAGCUUUUGUCUUAGGUUUCCUCUGUAUGUGGCUGAACAGGGAGUCGUGAUGCCAACUAGACUGGUCCUGAUGGUGGUACCAGACUGGUCACUAGAAGAUGCCUGUUACUGAACUACCACAAGUUGAUGUCCUUGUGGGUCUGCAGUCUUCAGGAAGGUCCUAACUGUUCCAGCCUGGCCACUGGAGAAUUGUUGCUGCACUACCUCAAGGUUUCUGCCCCCCUGGUUGAGGUCCUAGUGUCUGCCGUGUUUGGAAAGAGCUCGUUGGCUGCUGAAGUGUUGCUGUGCUGGUGGAGCGGGAAGCUCUCCUGUUGUACACUGGCAAGCCCUCUUGGUCAGCAAGGAAGAGGGACGUCUUGUUGGAACUGGGGAAAACCAGGCCAAGUCAAUUCAACCCCAUGACUGUUUUGAUGUGUAAAUAAAUCUACAAAUUAAUGCUUGUCUAAUUUUUCUUUCUCGGUGGUAGUAAAUCAGACUU